rnacentral:rRNA from 1 species
GCAUGCCUAACACAUGCAAGUCGAACGCUAUUUAUAGAGUGGCGGACGGGUGAGUAACGCGUAGGAAUCUACCUAAGUGUGGGGGAUAACAUGGAGAAAUUCAUGCUAAUACCGCAUACGCCCCACGGGGUAAAGAGGGCCUCUUCUUGAAAGCUCUUGCAUUUAGAUGAGCCUGCGUCGGAUUAGCUUGUUGGCGGGGUAAUGGCCCACCAAGGCGACGAUCCGUAGCUGGUCUGAGAGGAUGAUC